UACGGAGGGUGCAAGCAUUAAUCGGAAUAAUUGGGCGUAAAGGGCGCGUAGGCGGAUAGAUAAGUCAGGUGUGAAAUUCCGAGGCUCAACUUCGGAGCUGCAUUUGAAACUAUCGAUCUUGAGGGAUGGCGGAGAAAGUGGAAUUCCACGUGUAGCGGUGAAAUGCGUAGAUAUGUGGAAGAACACCUGUGGCGAAAGCGGCUUUCUAGCUAUGACCUGACGCUGAGGCGCGAGAGCAAGGGGAGCAAACAGG
rnacentral:rRNA from 1 species